rnacentral:rRNA from 1 species
CCAGACUCCUACGGGAGGCAGCAGUGGGGAAUAUUGCACAAUGGGGGGAACCCUGAUGCAGCGACGCCGCGUGGGUGAAGGAGCACCUCGGUGCGUAAAGCCCUAUCGGCAGGGAAGAAACAGACGGUACCUGACUAAGAAGCCCCGGCUAACUACGUGCCAGCAGCCGCGGUAAUACGUAGGGGGCGAGCGUUAUCCGGAUUCACUGUGUGUAAAGGGAGCGUAGACGGCCAUGCAAGCCAGGGGUGAAAGCCCGGGGCCCAACCCCGGGACUGCCCUUGGAACUGCAUGGCUGGAGUGCGGGAGGGGCAGGCGGAAUUCCUGGUGUAGCGGUGAAAUGCGUAGAUAUUAGGAAGAACACCAGUGGCGAAGGCGGCUUGCUGGACAGUAACUGACGUUGAGGCUCGAAAGCGUGGGGAGCAAACAGGAUUAGAUACCCUUGUAACA